GCACGUGUUUAAGCGUGGCGUUGGGCUAAAGACUUUAUUUAGAGAAACAUAGGAGUGUUUGUAAGCCCUAGAAGAGAAUGAAGCUGAAGGCCUCAUGAGGAACCACGCACGACACAAAGUUGUGGAGGUGCAGACGCUUCAGGUGCAGAGCUGUUCCAAGGAACCUAGGGAGAUUUGGCCUCCAGCAGUUCCCCAUGUCGUUUGGAGUCGUGGAGAACACCACGAUCAAUGAGAUGACCGUCUGUUGAUUUUGGAUUUCUGGCUGGACAUCAAGGCACCCCGUGGCUGCUCUCCCUUCACACGCACCGCUGGCUGGGUCCCAGUGGGCACGCAGGCUGGGGGAAUCAUAGGAUAGUUAAGGUUGUAAAAGACCUCUAUGAUCACGCAGUCAAACCACCAGGCCAUCCCCAUUGCGUCCCUCAGUGCCACAUCUCCAUGGUUCUUGAAUGCCUCCAGGGAUGAUGACUCCACCACCUCCCCGGGCAGCCUGUGCCAGUGCAUCACCACUCUUUCUGAGAAGAAAUGUUUCCUAACAUCCAACCUGAACUUCCCCAGCACAUCUUAAUGCCUACUGCUGUUACGUGGGAGAAGAGGCCAACACCCAACACAGCCUCCCUUCAGGGAGCUGCAGAGAGUGCUGAGGUCUCCCCUGAGCUCCAGACUGAACAAUCCCAGAUCCCUCAGCUGCUCCCCAUGAGAUGUUCUCCAGCUCCUUCACAGCUCCACUGCCCUUCUCUGGACGUGAUCCAUGGCCCCACUGUCUUUCUCGCAGCGAGGGGCCCAACACCGAACACAGCACUCGAGGCGCAGCCCCCCCACGGCCGAGUACAGCCACGGCGAAGCCCUCCGCUGUUGAAGCUGAGGAGCCGCCACACAGAGCCGUGCGGGUGCAACCGCUUUGGGUGCGGAGCUGUUCUGAGGAACGGCUGCACGUGAGGGAGAUGCGGCCUCCGGUCGUUCCCCAGAUCAUGUGGGGUUGUGGCGAUCACGGAGGGUCGGGACUUCUGGCCGCAGCCCCUUCACGCACACUGCUGGCCGCGUCCCACGGGGAGAAGGGGAACCGCGGCGUAGUUCCCUCCAGCAUCGCCGUACCAUCUCCGCCGGCACCGAGGCACUGACAACUCUGCUCCACGCACCUCGAGCGGGACGGAAACCAAGGAUGGAAGCGAAGAGAAGGAGCGCAGCGCGCAGCCC
ensembl:lncRNA